AAAACGCCCGACGGGAGGGCUGCCCUCCCCGGGGAGCUCUGCUGCGGGAAGUGGGAGCAAGGAACUGCCUUUUUAGGACUGCGGCCGAGCCGAGCUGGGAAGCGCCGGAGCAGGAGCGACGCUCCCACGGCGGCCUCCGAGGCCUUAUAAGGAGAAAGCCAGCUGCAAUGAGUGAUGAAAUCCAUUUAUGAGCUGAAGUCACAAGAUUCGAAGCACGUCUUUGUUUAAUCUCACUCAUCCAUCUGUUGCUUUUCGGAGUCCCAAAUGAGGGAGGAAAAGAGAUGGAUUUUACAGCACGUCCUGAAGACCAUCAAAUCAAGGUGGCAGAAGGAAAGAAGGAAAAUGCAAGGAUCUUUCACCUAGAACAUUCUGCUCCAAGUUCUCUCUUGAUUAUACUGGAAAAGGCCUGUUAGCUCAAGUACCUCAAGUGACAUCACUGCAGUACAAGACAAUUUCUUCAGCAGCUUGGACCCAAACUCUUAAGAGCUCCAAAAAUGCAAAAGCCAAAUACUUUAUGCAUAAUUGGCAAAGUCAAUGUAUCACCUAACUGCCACAAAUAAAAGAUGCAAGGUACAGGAA